GAGUUUGAUCGUGGCUCAGGACGAACGCUGGCGGCGUGCCUAAUACAUGCAAGUCGAGCGAGGGUUUUUAAGACCCUAGCGGCGGACGGGUGAGUAACACGUAGGCAACCUGCCUCUCAGACCGGGAUAACAUAGGGAAACUUAUGCUAAUACCGGAUAGGUUUUUGGAUUGCAUGAUCCGAAAAGAAAAGAUGGCUUUUCGCUAUCACUGGGAGAUGGGCCUGCGGCGCAUUAGCUAGUUGGUGGGUAACGGCCUACCAAGGCGACGAUGCGUAGCCGACCUGAGAGGGUGACCGGCCACACUGGGACUGAGACACGGCCCAGACUCCUACGGGAGGCAGCAGUAGGGAAUUUUCCGACAGUGGACGAAAGUCUGAUGGAGCAACGCCGCGUGACGAUGAAGGUCUUCGGAUUGUAAAGUUCUGUUGUCAGGGACGAACACGUACCGUUCGAAUAGGGCGGUACC
rnacentral:rRNA from 1 species